UACGUAGGGUGCAAGCGUUAAUCGGAAUUACUGGGCGUAAAGCGUGCGCAGGCGGUUUCGUAAGUCUGUCGUGAAAUCCCCGGGCUUAACCUGGGAAUGGCGAUGGAGACUGCGAGGCUAGAGUUUGGCAGAGGGGGGUAGAAUUCCACGUGUAGCAGUGAAAUGCGUAGAGAUGUGGAGGGACACCGAUGGCGAAGGCAGCCCCCUGGGUCAAAACUGACGCUCAUGCACGAAAGCGUGGGGAGCAAACAGG
rnacentral:rRNA from 1 species